UACGGAGGAUCCGAGCGUUAUCCGGAUUUAUUGGGUUUAAAGGGUGCGCAGGCGGGAGAUUAAGUCGGCGGUGAAAUUUUGCAGCUCAACUGUAAAAGUGCCUUCGAAACUGGUUUCCUUGAGUGUAGAUGAAGUAGGCGGAAUUUGUGGUGUAGCGGUGAAAUGCAUAGAUAUCACGAGGAACUCCGAUUGCGCAGGCAGCUUACUAAACUACUACUGACGCUCAGGCACGAAAGGCGUGGGGAUCAAACAGGAUUAGAUACCCGGGUAGUCCCU
rnacentral:rRNA from 1 species